rnacentral:rRNA from 1 species
GAUGAACGCUGGCGGCGUGCCUAAUACAUGCAAGUCGAGCGAACAGAUAAGGAGCUUGCUCCUUUGACGUUAGCGGCGGACGGGUGAGUAACACGUGGGUAACCUACCUAUAAGACUGGGAUAACUUCGGGAAACCGGAGCCAAUACCGGAUAAUAUUUCGAACCGCAUGGUUCGAUAGUGGAAGAUGGUUUUGCUAUCACUUAUAGAUGGACCCGCGCCGUAUUAGCUAGUUGGUAAGGUAACGGCUUACCAAGGCGACGAUACGUAGCCGACCUGAGAGGGUGAUCGGCCACACUGGAACUGAGACACGGUCCAGACUCCUACGGGAGGCAGCAGUAGGGAAUCUUCCGCAAUGGGCGAAAGCCUGACGGAGCAACGCCGCGUGAGUGAUGAAGGUCUUCGGAUCGUAAAACUCUGUUAUUAGGGAAGAACAUACGUGUAAGUAACUGUGCACGUCUUGACGGUACCUAAUCAGAAAGCCACGGCUAACUACGU